rnacentral:lncRNA from 1 species
ACCGAGCAUUAUUUUGACUCAUUCUUAUCAUGCUAAAUCAUGCAUCAAUCUAAUGUUGUGUGAAAUUUUGAAUAUGAUAGAGGCAUUUUGUUGUGAGAAAAACCACUUGACCAAAACGCUUAAAUCAACGAACCUUGUGAGGAGUAAUCCUUAGUUAACCCCCUUUGAGCUAAUAGGAUUCAUUUGAUUGAUCAUUGUAAAAUCAAUU